rnacentral:rRNA from 1 species
AUGCACACCGGUUUGGUCAGGGAGGUGAUUGCCUUAAUUUUCUCCGGCUUAGCUUCAAUACCUCUGUUAGACACCAAAAAACCCAAGCUUGCCAGCUGGGACUCCAAAAACACACUUGGCCGGGUUAAGCAUCAUCUUGUAGACCCGGAGGUUAUCAAAGGUCUCCUUCAGAUCUGUUACCAAGGUUUCCUCUUCUCUGGAUUUCACCACUAUAUAAUCCACAUAAGCAUGAACAUCAUGCCCAAUCUGAUUGUGAAGGCAAUUCUGUACACACCGUUGAUAAGUCGCCUGGGCACUUUUAAGCCCAAAAGGCAUAGACACAUAGCAGAAGGAUCCAAACGGAGUGAUGAAAGUUGUUUCUCCUGGUCCUUAACUGCCAUCUUGAUCUGA